rnacentral:rRNA from 1 species
UGGGGAAUAUUUGACAAUGGGCGCAAGCCUGAUCCAGCCAUGCCGCGUGAGUGAUGAAGGCCCUAGGGUUGUAAAGCUCUUUCACCGGUGAAGAUAAUGACGGUAACCGGAGAAGAAGCCCCGGCUAACUUCGUGCCAGCAGCCGCGGUAAUACGAAGGGGGCUAGCGUUGUUCGGAUUUACUGGGCGUAAAGCGCACGUAGGCGGACUAUUAAGUCAGGGGUGAAAUCCCGGGGCUAAACCCCGGAACUGCCUUUGAUACUGGUAGUCUUGAGUUCGAGAGAGGUGAGGGGAAUUCCGAGUGUAGAGGUGAAAUUCGUAGAUAUUCGGAGGAACACCAGUGGCGAAGGCGGCUCACUGGCUCGAUACUGACGCUGAGGUGCGAAAGCGUGGGGAGCAAACAGG